CCUACGGGAGGCAGCAGUGAGGAAUAUUGGUCAAUGGACGAGAGUCUGAACCAGCCAAGUAGCGUGAAGGAUGACUGCCCUAUGGGUUGUAAACUUCUUUUAUAUGGGAAUAAAAUGUUCCACGUGUGGGAUUUUGUAUGUACCAUAUGAAUAAGGAUCGGCUAACUCCGUGCCAGCAGCCGCGGUAAUACGGAGGAUCCGAGCGUUAUCCGGAUUUCUUGGGGUUAAAGGGAGCGUAGGUGGAUUGUUAAGGCAGUUGUGAAAGUUGGCGGCUCAACCGUAAAAUUGCAGUUGAAAAUGGCAGUCUUGAGUACAGUAGAGGUGGGCGGAAUUCGUGGUGUAGCGGUGAAAUGCUUAGAUAUCACGAAGAACUCCGAUUGCGAAGGCAGUUCACUGGACUGCAACUGACACUGAGGCUCGAGAGUGUGGGUAUCAAACAGGAUUAGAUACCCGAGUAGUC
rnacentral:rRNA from 1 species